rnacentral:lncRNA from 1 species
UACAAUAAAAUAGUAAGUAAUUAUUAUAAUUCAUAUAAUUCUAAAUAUUUAUAUUUGUGCAUAAGUAUUGGAGAAUGACAUGGUUACCUUAUAAUAUGUAUGAUAUUAUAGCACAUAUUAGUCAAAUAUUUUUUCCGGCUAAUCUGAUUUUUAUUAAUCGUUGUCAAAAAUUACAAAAUAUUGUAAGAAGGAAGGGCAGACAUGAUACAAACCCCAUAAAGAAUUACAAGUGAAAUUUUAGCUAAGAUAUCCCAGCACAUACAUGUAUUACCUGCUCGGUAACAAUGAUGAAACGCACACCAAAACCUAUAAAUAUUUUAUUUAGGGAAAUUAUGCCCAAUAACCCCAAAAAAAAAACUAAAAUCUCAAUCUCUCUCCUCCUUUCUCUUUCUCUCUCUCUAAUAUCUUACUACAAAUCUAAUUUUCCUUUUCUUUUAGGGGAUGUAUUCAAUCUAAAAUUUGAAGUGCUUUCACUUUUAAUGAGGUUUUAGAUGAUUUUAAGGAAUUGCGGAGAAUAAAAUGAUUUUUGUUAAACCACUCUAGAAUAUCACCUAAAACCAUGAGACUUGAGUUUUAUUUUUUUUAACUAAGAAACUCCACCCAAACACUCUAAAAUCACUUGAGAACUUGAAAACUCCACAACUUAAAAUAUUUUCAAUAACAGUGGAUUUCAG